rnacentral:rRNA from 1 species
AUGCCACCCUCCGGCAUCCUCUCCUACAUCCCGACCAGCCUCUCCUCCAUCCUCCCGGUCCGCGGCUGCGGCGCGGCCCCCUUGCCGUCUCCGUCGCCGUCGCCUCCAACUCCACCGGCGUCCCCGGCCCCGAGCAAGAUGUCGCCCUCGGUGAAGGCGGCGGACCGCGCGGAGCUGGCGCGCGUGUUCGAGCUGUUCGACCGGAACGGCGACGGGCGCAUCACGCGGGAGGAGCUGGAGGACUCGCUGGGCAAGCUGGGCAUCCCCGUGCCGGGCGACGAGCUGGCCGCCAUGAUCGCGCGCAUCGACGCCGACGGCGACGGGUGCGUGGACGUGGAGGAGUUCGGGGAGCUCUACCGCACCAUCAUGUCCACGGGCGGUGGCGGGGGCCAGAAGGGCUCGUCGGGCGAGGAGGCGGCGGCGGAGGAGGACGAGGACGAGGACAUGCGGGAGGCGUUCCGUGUGUUCGACGCCAACGGCGACGGGUUCAUCACGGUGGACGAGCUGAGCGCCGUGCUGGCGUCGCUGGGGCUGAAGCAGGGCCGGUCGGCCGAGGAGUGCCGCCGCAUGAUCGGGCAGGUGGACCGCGACGGCGACGGCCGCGUCGACUUCCACGAGUUCCGCCAGAUGAUGCGCGGCGGCGGGCUCGCCGCGCUCGCCUGA